rnacentral:rRNA from 1 species
CGCCUGGGGAGUACGGCCGCAAGGUUAAAACUCAAAUGAAUUGACGGGGACCCGCACAAGUAGUGGAGCAUGUGGUUUAAUUCGAAGAUACGCGCAGAACCUUACCAACACUUGACAUGUUCGUGCGACCUAAGAGAUUAGGUUUUCGGUUCGCCGGACGAAACACAGGUGCUGCAUGGCUGUCGUCAGCUCGUGUCGUGAGAUGUUGGGUUAAGUCCCGCAACGAGCGCAACCCUUACUUUUAGUUGCCAUCAUUUAUUGGGCACUCUGAAAGAACUGCCAGUGAUAAGCUGGAGGAAGGUGGGGAUGACGUCAAGUCCUCAUGGCCCUUACGUGUUGGGCUACACACGUGCUACAAUGGUAUCUACAACAGGAAGCAAAACGGCGACGUUAAGCAAAUCCUUAAAAGAUACCUCAGUUCGGAUUGCACUCUGCAACUCGAGUGCAUGAAGCUGGAAUUACUAGUAAUCGUGGAUCAGGUGCCACGGUGAAUGCGUUCCCGGGUCUUGAACACACCGCCCGUC